GCCAUACCGCGUGGGUGAAGAAGGCCUUCGGGUUGUAAAGCCCUUUUGUUGGGAAAGAAAUCCAGCCGGCUAAUACCUGGUUGGGAUGACGGUACCCAAAGAAUAACCACCGGCUAACUUCGGGCCCUCAGCCGCGGUAAUACUAAGGGUGCAAGCGUUACUCGGAAUUACUGGGCGUAAAGCGUGCGUAGGUGGUUGUUUAAGUCCGGUGAGAAACCCCUGGGCUCAACCUGGGAACUGCAAUGGAAACUGGACGACUACCGAGUGGUAAAGGGUAGCGGAAUUCCUGGUGUAGCAACGAAAUGCGUAAAGAUCACGAGGAACAUCCAUGGCGAAGGCAACUACCUGGACCAACACUGACACUGAGGAACAAAAGCCUGGGGAGCCAACAGGAUUAAAUACCCUGGUAGUCCACGCCCUAAACGAUGCAAACUGGAUGUUGGGUGCAAUUUGGCACCCCCUAUCGAAGCUAACGCGUUAAGUUCGCCGCCUGGGGAGUACGGUCGCAAGACUGAAACUCCGAGGAAUUGACGGGGGCCCGCACAAGCGGUGGAGUAUGUGGUUAUAAUUCCAUGCACACGCGGAGAACCUUA
rnacentral:rRNA from 1 species